rnacentral:tRNA from 1 species
ACAUUGGUGGUUCAGUGGUAGAAUGCCUGCCUUCCAUGCAGGAGACCCGGGUUCAAUUCCCAGACAAUGUG